rnacentral:rRNA from 1 species
UACGUAGGGUGCGAGCGUUAAUCGGAAUUACUGGGCGUAAAGCGUGCGCAGGCGGUUGGUUAAGUCAGAUGUGAAAGCCCCGGGCUCAACCUGGGAAUUGCAUUUGAAACUGGCCAACUAGAGUAUGUGAGAGGGGGGUAGAAUUCCAAGUGUAGCGGUGAAAUGCGUAGAGAUUUGGAGGAAUACCAGUGGCGAAGGCGGCCCCCUGGCACAAUACUGACGCUCAGGUGCGAAAGCGUGGGGAGCAAACAGG